UCCAAUGAGGAUUGUCUUGCUUACAUGAGCAUUGAUGCUACUUGGUGUGAUGGGCAUAAUAAUGGUUUUAUUUUUUAGUUUUGAGAUUUCAAAGAGGGUCACUCAACGAAAGGUUAUCAUUCAUCACUGUAACCCAGUCUUCUGCAAACUUGUUGAGUAUCCAUGUAAUUAUGAUUAAUUCUUGGUGUUAAUGGACCCUGUAUAUUUAUAUAGCAAUGCUUGUUUUUUUAACUCAAAAAUUCACAGGAGAGUUUCAAAGCUGCUUUCAAGGAAGUCUAUAGACUAAACAAAGUUUCUGUCACGACAACUAACUCAAUGGUAUGAAAUAUGCCAUAGAGGAUGGCUAUUCCAUGAUGAAACAUGAG
rnacentral:lncRNA from 1 species